CCUACGGGUGGCAGCAGUGGGGAAUCUUGCACAAUGGGGGAAACCCUGAUGCAGCGACGCCGCGUGAGCGAUGAAGCCCUUCGGGGUGUAAAGCUCUUUCGGCAGGAACGAUAAUGACGGUACCUGCAGAAGAAGCUGCGGCUAACUACGUGCCAGCAGCCGCGGUAAUACGUAGGCAGCAAGCGUUGUUCGGAAUUACUGGGCGUAAAGAGUGUGUAGGUGGUGUCGUAAGUUUGGUGUGAAAUCUCCCGGCUUAACUGGGAGGGUGCGCCGAAGACUGCGAUGCUUGAGUAUGGGAGAGGAAAGCGGAAUUCCUGGUGUAGCGGUGAAAUGCGUAGAUAUCAGGAGGAACACCUGCGGUGUAGACGGCUUUCUGGACCAUUACUGACACUGAGACACGAAAGCGUGGGUAGCAAACAGGAUUAGAUACCCCUGUAGUC
rnacentral:rRNA from 1 species